rnacentral:rRNA from 1 species
UGGCGGACGGGUGAGUAACGCGUGGGUAACCUGCCUUACACAGGGGGAUAACACUUAGAAAUAGGCGCUAAAACCGCAUAAGCGCACAGCUUCGCAUGAAGCGGUGUGAAAAACUCCGGUGGUGUAAGAUGGACCCGCGUCUGAUUAGCUUGUUGGCGGGGUAACGGCCCACCAAGGCGACGAUCAGUAGCCGGCCUGAGAGGGCGGACGGCCACAUUGGGACUGAGACACGGCCCAGACUCCUACGGGAGGCAGCAG